rnacentral:rRNA from 1 species
UGGGUGACCUGCCCUCAGCUCUGGGAUAAGCCUGGGAAACUGGGUCUAAUACUGGAUAUUCACUUCUCAUCGCAUGGUGGGUGGUGGAAAGGCCUGGGCUUUAUUGUCUGGGUCGGCUGGGGAUGGGCCCGCGGCCUAUCAGCUUGUUGGGUGGGGUGAUGGCCUACCAAGGCGACGACGGGUAGCCGGCCUGAGAGGGCGAUCGACCACACUGGGACUGAGAUACCGGCAGA